CAAAAAAGAUGAGUGAACCUCCAUCUAGUCUUUAUAUAAGGCAAAACCUUCAAAUUGCGGGAACAUCUUAAAGACAAAUCUACCAAAUUAUUACAGUAAUGUAAUAUAUGGAACAGGUAAUGACUCGUUGUAUGGUAAAAACGAUUUGUAUGAAGAAAUGAAAUAGAUUAUCCGCAGCUAAACACCAAGAUAAUGUUGGUGCACAGUUCAUCGACUAAGUGUAGGUUGGUUUAUAAUUAUGAUAAUAUAAUUAUUUGCUUAAGAUAUAGUCAGGCAUAAUUCAAAGAUUAUG
rfam:Pyrenophora teres f. teres 0-1 contig_001762, whole genome shotgun sequence.